rnacentral:rRNA from 1 species
UAAUACAGAGGUGGCAAGCGUUGUUCGGAAUUACUGGGCGUAAAGCGCGUGUAGGCGGCUCUUCAAGUCAGGCGUGAAAGCCCCGGGCUCAACUCGGGAACUGCGCUUGAUACUGUCGAGCUAGAGUGUGGAAGGGGCGAUUGGAAUUCCGUGUGUAGCGGUGAAAUGCGUAGAUAUACGGAGGAACACCAGAGGCGAAGGCGGAUCGCUGGGCCAACACUGACGCUGAGACGCGAAAGCUAGGGUAGCAAACGGGAUUAGAUACCCCGGUAGUCCUAGCCUUAAACGAUGCUGACUUGGUGUCCCCGGUUUUAAGUCCGGGGGUGUCGGAGCUAACGCGUUAAGUCAGCCGCCUGGGGAGUACGGUCGCAAGGCUG